AACUUUCAACAACGGAUCUCUUGGCUCUCGCAUCGAUGAAGAACGCAGCGAAAUGCGAUAAGUAAUGUGAAUUGCAGAUUUUCAGUGAAUCAUCGAAUCUUUGAACGCACCUUGCGCUCCUUGGUAUUCCGAGGAGCAUGCCUGUUUGAGUGUCAUUA
rnacentral:rRNA from 11 species